CUUCUCCAGCAACGAAGCGCGCCGCCGACGAGCGAUGUCUAGCUCAACUUCGCCCUCCCGCCAAUCAUGGCCACAGUACGGUCCAGUGCCGUUGACAAGAUGCCCCGAUUGCCCACGCAUGGAGCCUCUGAAGCGUUUGACUUAUGUGAAGGAGGAAAAUGACAACCGUCGGUGCGAGUUCAUCAAAUGCUUGAGCAGGCCACAGCCGGGGCAGGUCCUGAAGAAAUGUGGACAUUUCGAGUGGCUCGAUGAGUACGUUGAGAGGUUGAAAAUGCAGGCUUCAACACAAGAGCUCAAUUUCAAUUUUGGGGGGCAGCUUGGUGUGCAACACGCCUCACAUUUGGUGGACAGAGCCGAUCCAUGAUAGACAAUGCUGAAGUGAAGUGUGAAUUGAAGAAAUUGGGCAAGCAACUAAAGCAGCGGAUCGAUUUGAAGCAGCAAGCAAAUAUGAUGACUGAAGCAUUUUAUUGGUGUGUCAUUGCCAUGGGUUUCUUUUACUUGAUGUUCAUCAAUCUCUAGAAAUUGUUACAGUUUCAGUUUGUGUGUCAAGCUAGUUUCAGAUCGGGGGUCCCUAGUUUCAGUUAUUGUGUCUAGCUAGUAGUUUCUGUUAUUCAAGGAUCAUUUGUUAGCUGAAUUUGAAUUUGUGUGAAGCAAAGCCUGAAUUCUGGUAAUGAUAUUAAGACCCAAUGAUAUUCUCAGUUACA